rnacentral:lncRNA from 1 species
AUAUGGAGGUUCCCAGGCUAGGGGUCUAAUCAGAGCUGUUGCUGCCUGCCUACACCUGAGCUACAGCAACGCCAUAUCCGAGCCACAUCUGUGACCUACACCACAGCUCACAGCAACACCUCUUAACCCACUGAGCGAGGCCAGGGAUGGAACCCACAACCUCAUGGUUCCUAGUCAGACUCAUUUCUGUUGCGCCAAGACAGGAACUCCCCGAAAUCUCUUUAUGUACAUUAAAUCUUCCUUCUUCAGAAGUACGUGAUGUUGAGCUGAUCUGUCAAAGUAUUUCUUUUAUCACAUUCUCACUAUUUUUCAUACAAGACCUCAUUGUUGAGCUUCUUUUUAUUGAUGCAAAGAAAUCUUAUAUGCCAUUUCCAUUCCAUUAACUGUUCAAAAGAGAUAAUCCACAUUCUAAAAGGGCUGAACUGUAAACCACAGCCAGUUCUGAGUUGCUGAUCUUUUGUUGAGCUGUCUUUUGACCCUCUUUGACAUUUCAGCCAUCUUUCUUUUGAGAGCUUCCACUAUUUGCCUAAAUGAUACUGGGCUAGUUGUAACUUGUUUGAAUGGAGAAAUAGCUGCUGUGUUUCAUAUUAUUUGCUAUAAAAAGAGGUAAUUUUAAAUAGAAUUUCAGUGGCUAAUUCAAGUAUUAAGAAUGUGAAAUAUCUGUGCUUAUUACCAAACUUGUUCUUGAUCAUUGCUUUAUAGAUAUUAAAAAUAUGGAAACUGUUGUUUAAUAUUUAAUGUUUCAGCUUUGAAAUAAGAGAAUCGUAGGUUUAUAAUUUAAUACCUGUAAAUUAUAUAUGGCUAAGUGUGGGUAGUUUCUUUGUCUAUCAAUUCAUACCUACAUCAUAGAAUGGAUAUAAGAAGAAAAUUAGUUAAGAUCCAUAAAGUUGAAAACCUGACACAGAGCAGGACUACCAGUGACAUUGCAUUUAUUAUUAACAACUAAAAAAUCUAGAUCAUGGAACCCUGGGAACCCUAAUACUGUCCUUCAGAAGUGCAGUGUGAAUAGCAUUUUAAUGGUUGCAAGUAUUAUUCUUUGUCACUGUCCUUCCUAUUUGACCAGUUUUUAUGAUGGUAUUGAUUUAUCCUGGGUUGAAAAGUAUGCCUAACAUGAGGGUCUGGGCCACCCAGGCUGUGACUUUGUAAUUGUCUUUGUGCAAACAGAGACUCCUUGGUUUCUGCUACAAUCCUCUCCAUAUGUAUUUCUGCUCAUAUUUCUGAUGUAAGACUACUUGGAUACAUCUGUAGUCAACAUUUUGUAUUGUUCAAAGUAAAUUUCUAAUUAUACCAUCUUAAACUGCCAUAAAAAUAUAAUAUGCUUGAUCAUCCAAGUAUUAUUUUUUCUUCUUAAAAACAGACCUAACCCUUAAAUUGCAUAAUAUUAUUGAUCUCAGUGCAAAUAUUCUACUGACUUUGACUACCACCAUGAAAUAGCUGAAUUCACAUGCACAUUGCUUUUUUUUUUAACAAAAAGUAAAUUACAGGUUAAAUGAGUCCAUUCCUAAGUAAAUAUAUUUUAUAGUUUUAAAUCUCAAAUCACCUACCAAAUAUUAGUUUAGCAAUUGCAUAUAUAUUCAAGAUAUAUUAAAGAAUUAGUUCUUUCUUUGUAUUGCUGCCAAAAUUUCAGUUUGUAGUUCAUGACAUCACUAACACCUAAACUGUGUGGAACAUAUGGAGUCAGGAUGUGGUUAGAAAGAACAGAAGCAAAAUAAACCAAUUAUAAAGCUAGUCAUGAGCUCCCUUUACAUUUGAAAAUUAAAUCCUUUACUAGCAGACUUCUGAAAUCACUGAGUGACCUGAAGUAGAGCUGAAGCUUUCAAGGGAGGAAAUGAAUAAGAAGACAAGCAAAAAGGAAACAUUAAAGGAAAAGAAUGUGAGGAUUUCCAGGGAAGCAAUGGACACAGUAAAAACUGAGAACAAAAUGUGCUUUUAAAAGGCAUCUUGAGAUAAGAGUUGUCUAUAAAUGAAAAUGAGUUUUCAAAAGGUUGAAGAGAUUAAAUAUCUGAUUUAUUUCCUCACAGUUCAAAUGCAUCUGGUGCUGCAAAGACAAAGCUUAUAAUUGAAAGUAAGAAAUUUUAGAUCUAAAAUGAAAUUUACCAACUAACUUGUUUAGCCCUUUUUGACAAAUAAGAACUUUAAUUAUUAAAAAUGGUAGCUGUGGAAGCUGUUGUCAGUUCUCCACAAUUCUCUCUGUGACUUCCUUUCUCCUCACUUCUAAUCCUAUCCCCCAUUUAUGGCAAUACCACAUUCCUCUGGAUAAUAACACUAGCCUAAAAGUAACCCAUAAAGGAUUAAUCAGACAUAUCUUGGGUUUUCACUUUGGACAAUGAAAAAAAGAAGUUCUUUCCUUCUGGGUUGCAAUCUUAAAGCUGUCAGCAACCCUAAGUCCCCAGUCAUGGGAAGUAACCCACCAGCAAGUAAAGUGAUAAGGCUAACACACUGACUUUUUGUUUUUUGUGGGGAGGGAGUUUAGCCUGAGUUCUGCUGUGCUUGAAAUCAGAGUCAACCCUGGACUUGCAAGGGUAAAAACCCAUUAUUUCACUUUUGAUUUAUGCAAUUUUGGAUUGAGUUUUUAUUACUCUCAACAAAAUGUCUUGUCUAAAUGUGUAUCUAUUUGGAAGUAAAUUCUGGACAGCAUUUUUAUAGCUAUAUUUUCUUUGGCACCUUUCUUUGGGCUUACUUUAUAAUCAUAUUGAUCUAUUCUGAGAUGACUCUGUGCCUGUAUAAGAGUCCAGUUAGUUUGAGAACUUAGGUUUCCUAAGGUCAUUAUCCUUUCAUUAUAGAGCAGACAGUCUUUUUCCUUCCUGUUGUAAGGGAGGAAAUCUUUUUCUUCUGUCCUUCUAGUCAUCUGGCUGGCCUAUGAAUCAUACUGAUUUCAAUAAAAAAUUAAUCAGUCAACCUAAGGAAGAAACAAAAAACUUUAUUUGUACCAAACUGUGGAUUAUAAGCCAGGAACAGGCUCUCAGAAAGCUCCAAGGAUUGUUCCACCUGUUAGAGGUCAAAGCACAGUUAUAUAAGUUUUGGGGACAGAGGGCUGUAUAUUUAGUGAUAUAUCAUUGACAGUCUACACAAUUCAGAUCUACCCCUAUAAAGAGUAUUGGUCAUAGGUCACCAUGGUUCCUCAUAAGAUUAAGAAUGAUGCUUAUCUCCUAAGGAGUUGUAACACUUCAUGAAAUAAAGAAGAAAUGCUAUCUCCUAAGGAGAUCUGGUUAAUGCAGAUGCACAAUACACACCAAAGGUGGGGGUAGGAGGGAAGGCCUAAACCAGCCAAAAAAAAAAAAAAGUUAUAUUUAAAUUUUCCUUGUUUUGACAUAAAAUACGAAUUUUAUUUAUCAUUGAAAAAAGACAGAUAAACAAGGGGUGUUAAUUAUAUACAUACACAGGAAACUUUCAGGAAGAAACAAGAUACAAGGAGAUGAUUAGAUGAUUAGGUUUAUAUACCAUCUUAGACUAAACAAAAUAAAAAGGGGUUUUGGCAGGCAAGUUAUUGAAACCAAGCAGGACACUGUGGGGUCCUCCCAGGUACAAAUCCUUUCCAUGUUCCUUGUUUCUAGUGUGUAGGAAAGAGGUUUCAGCCUCCUUGAGCUUCCCUAGGUUCCAAAGGGCAGAUUCAAACAUUUGCUAAUCAGAAAAGUGAGAGAAUCUAGAAACAAAGGAGCAAUCAAGAAACAAUAGUAGUGCAGAGAUAAAGCAGAGCCUGGGUUCCACCUCAAGGAAUAUACAUAGCAAUAUCUUUGCGUACUUUUGCAGGAACUAAGGCCCCUACCCAGGUGUAGGAUGGUAACUUCAGGCUGAGCACAAGGGUAUUAGAACACCAAAUUAUUACCUCACUGCUAACCAAUUAGAAAAAAGUCUGUACACAUUGGAAGAUAAGGAAUACUCUGACGCUCCCCUCCUGAAAUGAGUAACUGCAAAUAACUUCCCCUUUUUCCUUUUAAAAAUUAUUCAUGGUCAGGAGUACUCACUGUGGCACAACAGCAUUAGCAGUGUCUCUGCAGAGCCAGGACACAGGUUU